GAUGAACGCUGGCGGCGUGCCUAAUACAUGCAAGUCGAGCGAACAGACGAGGAGCUUGCUCCUCUGACGUUAGCGGCGGACGGGUGAGUAACACGUGGAUAACCUACCUAUAAGACUGGGAUAACUUCGGGAAACCGGAGCUAAUACCGGAUAAUAUCUUGAACCGCAUGGUUCAAUAGUGAAAGACGGUUUUGCUGUCACUUAUAGAUGGAUCCGCGCCGCAUUAGCUAGUUGGUAAGGUAACGGCUUACCAAGGCAACGAUGCGUAGCCGACCUGAGAGGGUGAUCGGCCACACUGGAACGGAGACACGGUCCAGACUCCUACGGGAGGCAGCAGUAGGGAAUCGUCCGCAAUGGGCGAAAGCCUGACGGAGCAACGCCGCGUGAGUGAUGAAGGUCUUCGGAUCGUAAAACUCGGUUAUUAGGGAAGAACAAAUGUGGAAGUAACUAUGCACGUCUUGACGGUACCUAAUCAGAAAGCCACGGCUAACUACGUG
rnacentral:rRNA from 1 species